rnacentral:rRNA from 1 species
GAUGAACGCUGGCGGCGUGCCUAAUACAUGCAAGUCGAGCGAGCAGACGAGGAGUUUGCUCCUCUGACGUUAGCGGCGGACGGGUGAGUAACACGUGGAUAACCUACCUAUAAGACUGGGAUAACUUCGGGAAACCGGAGAUAAUACCGGAUAAUAUAUUGAACCGCAUGGUUCAAUAGUGAAAGACGGUUUUGCUGUCACUUAUAGAUGGUUCCGCGCCGCAUUAGCUAGUUGGUAAGGUAACGGCUUACCAAGGCAACGAUGGGGAGCCGACCUGAGAGGGUGAUCGGCCACACUGGAACUGAGACACGGUCCAGACUCCUACGGGAGGCAGCAGUAGGGAAUCUUCCGAAAUGGGCGAAAGCCUGACGGAGCAACGCCGCGUGAGUGAUGAAGGUCUUCGGAUCGGAAAACUCUGUUAUUAGGGAAGAACAAAUGUGUAAGUAACUAUGCACGUCUUGACGGUACCGAAUCAGAAAGCCACGGCUAACUACGUG